UNGCAUCGANNAAGAACGUAGCGAAAUGCGAUACUUGGUGUGAAUUGCAGAAUCCCGUGAAUCAUCGAGUCUUUGAACGCAAGUUGCGCCCGAAGCCAUUAGGCCGAGGGCACGUCUGCCUGGGCGUCACGC
rnacentral:rRNA from 1 species